rnacentral:rRNA from 1 species
GAUGAACGCUGGCGGCGUGCCUAAUACAUGCAAGUCGAACGCUGGAGAUCUAGCUUGCUAGAUCGAAGGAGUGGCGAACGGGUGAGUAAUACAUAAGCAACCUACCCACGAAGACUGGGAUAAUCUCUGGAAACGGGGACUAAUACCGGAUAGGUAAUCGGAAGGCAUCUUCUGGUUAUUAAAGGUUAAAAACACUGGUGGAUGGGCUUAUGGCGCAUUAGUUAGUUGGUGAGGUAACGGCCCACCAAGACGAUGAUGCGUAGCCGGCCUGAGAGGGUGAACGGCCACAUUGGGACUGAGACACGGCCCAGACUCCUACGGGAGGCAGCAGUAGGGAAUUUUCGGCAAUGGGGGCAACCCUGACCGAGCAACGCCGCGUGAGUGAAGACGGCCUUCGGGUUGUAAAGCUCUGUUGUAAGGGAAGAACGGUAGAUAGAGAAUAUCUAAGUGACGGUACCUUACCAGAAAGCCACGGCUAACUACGUG